rnacentral:rRNA from 1 species
CCUACGGGUGGCAGCAGUGGGGAAUAUUGCACAAUGGGGGGAACCCUGAUGCAGCGACGCCGCGUGAGUGAAGAAGUAUUUCGGUAUGUAAAGCUCUAUCAGCAGGAACGAGACAAGACGGUACCUGACUAAGAAGCCCCGGCUAACUACGUGCCAGCAGCCGCGGUACUACGUAGGGGGCAAGCGUUACGCGGAAUCAAUGGGUGUAAGGGGAGGGUAGGCGGCUGAGCAAGCUUGAAGUGAAGGGCGGGGGCUCAACCCCCGGACUGCUUUGGUAACUGUACGACUGGAGUGCAGGAGAGGGAAGUGGAAUUCCUGGUGUAGCAGUGAAAUGCGUAGAUAUUAGGAGGAACACCAGUGGCGAAGGCGGCUUACUGGACUUUAACUGACGUUGAGGCACGAAAGCGUGGGGAGCGAACAGGAUUAGAUACCCUGGUAGUC